rnacentral:rRNA from 1 species
UAUGUUGUUGCAGUUAAAAAGCUCGUAGUUGGAUUCCUGGCACGGGGUAACCGGUCCGCCUUGCAAAAGGUGCGCACUGUGUGGCCUCGGCCAUCCUUGGGAAGAGCGGCUCUGGCAUUAAGUUGUCGGGGUCGGGAUUCCCGACGUUUACUGUGAAAAAAUCAGAGUGUUCAACGCAGGCUUACGCCUUGAAUACAUUAGCAUGGAAUAAUGAGAU